GACGAACGCUGGCGGCGUGCUUAACACAUGCAAGUCGAACGAAGAGCGAUGGAAGCUUGCUUCUAUCAAUCUUAGUGGCGCACGGGUGAGUAACGCGUAAUCAACCUGCCCUUCAGAGGGGGACAACAGUUGGAAACGACUGCUAAUACCGCAUACGAUCUAAUCUCGGCAUCGAGGAUAGAUGAAAGGUGGCCUCUACAUGUAAGCUAUCACUGAAGGAGGGGAUUGCGUCUGAUUAGCUAGCUGGAGGGGUAACGGCCCACCAAGGCGAGGAUCAGUAGCCGGUCUUGGAGGGUGAACGGCCACAUUGGGACUGGGACCCGGCCCCGGCUCCUACGGGAGGCAGCAGUGGGGAAUCUUCCGCCAUGGACGGAAGUCUGACGGAGCAACGCCGCGUGAGUGAUGACGGCCUUCGGGUUGUAAAGCUCUGUUAAUCGGGACGAAAGGCCUUCUUGCGAAUAGUGAGAAGGAUUGACGGUACCGGAAUAGAAAGCCACGGCUAACUACGUG
rnacentral:rRNA from 1 species